GUAUCGGUUGAACUUUUCUUAUUUUUCAGAUUCAAAAAUCUGUUUGCUCUACAAAGUCGAUGAGUGCAUCUAAUCAGUUCUGCAGCGCCAUGGUGAACGUUGGGAGGUGUUGGCACGGAAGACGGAGCGGGAAAACGUUCACGACAACUAUGCGGUGAGGAGGAUAUCAACGGAUUGUGCAUUUACAGUUAGCGGGUGAGCCCACGCUGUACCUCGUAGGAGAACCUGGCCAUGGGUAUCGGAGAAUGCAUAUCGUAUGCCGGGAUCGUGCUUG